ACCACGGUAGCUCAUCAGGUAGAGCAUCUGCCCGGUACGCGGAGGAUCGCCGGUUCGACUCCGGCUCGUGGAG
rnacentral:tRNA from 1 species